UACGGAGGGUGCAAACGUUGCUCGGAAUCAUUGGGCGUAAAGCGCACGUAGGCGGUCGGCUAUGUCGGAUGUGAAAGCCUCGGGCUUAACCCGAGAAGGGCAUCCGAAACUGGCUGGCUUGAGUACGGAAGAGGGUCUCGGAAUUCCCGGUGUAGAGGUGAAAUUCGUAGAUAUUAGGAAGAACACCAGUGGCGAAGGCGGCUUUCUGGCUCGUAACUGACGCUGAGGCGCGAAAGCGUGGGGAGCAAACAGG
rnacentral:rRNA from 1 species